rnacentral:rRNA from 1 species
UACGUAGGGGGCAAGCGUUGUCCGGAAUCAUUGGGCGUAAAGCGCGCGUAGGCGGCCCGAUAAGUCUGCUGUGAAAGUCCAGGGCUCAACCCUGGAAUGCCGAUGGAUACUGCGGAGCUAGAGUACGGAAGAGGCGAGUGGAAUUCCUGGUGUAGCGGUGGAAUGCGCAGAUAUCAGGAGGAACACCAAUAGCGAAGGCAGCUCGCUGGGACGUUACUGACACUAAGGCGCGAAAGCGUGGGGAGCGAACAGG